rnacentral:lncRNA from 1 species
CUUAGGAGAUCUGGCUUGCUUCACAGGUGCUUGGCAGUCAGCACUACCAUCCUUCAGUUUUGCAAUGACUCAUUUUGAUCUUGGCUUUUCUUUACCUGGGAAGCCCCCUCCCUCCUGUGUCAUGUCUGCCACAGAUGAAGCUGCCAAAGAGUGUGAGGUGUGAGAAAGGGCUGCCUUUCUGCUGCCUCCCUUGUGGGCUCCUUGAUUUAUAAGGGUCUUUCUUCGACUUGGUUCAAAGUAGCCCCAGCAACUGGAGAUACUACAUUUUAGCUGGCUUUUAAGGAGGAGAGGAAAGCCUAAAACUUGGGAUCUGAAGCUUGGUGCCUUUUAAAACCACGUGUCUCCUUUCUAGUUUGUUUUUCUCAUGGAGAUUGUCAGCUGGAUUUGUCCAUACUUAUUAAGCCUUGGUCUGCAGUGUGCUCUGCAGUGUGGUGAACAAAGGAAAGGAAAACUUUAGAUCUUCUCUGAAUGAUUUCAGAUCUAACAGCAAGCGAGGCAUGAUGCCACACAAACGAGCUUGGAGUCCCGACCAAGCACUGUGGGCUCAGAUAUCAUGCACCUUCAUCCACGGGCAGAACCAGAGUAUUCCCACAGACACUGGAACUCUCUCACAUUUCUGCUCUGAAACAACAGACCCAGGCAAUCCAGGGAAAUGGAUGCUUGGUGUGAUUUAAAAUCUUCAUAGUGAAGAGAAAAUGGAAUAGGAAUGAAAAUUUUUGAAGCAGUUACAUCCCUCAAAGAGAAUACUGGCCACACUAAUUCUGUAAUUUGUGAUAAAUUCAUUCAUUAUUAAAAAAUAACUAAAUAAUCUGCAUGUGUCUCUGCUGUGCCAGCAACAUCAUCUAUAUGGAUCACUGCUUUGCCUAAGAGAGGAAGACAUCCAAUUUAGAAAUCAGUCGGUUUGGGAGAGGGAAAUGGUUAUUUUGUCUCAGAGGCUGCAUUUUGCUAGCAUAAAAGAAGAAUCACUUUUUGAAAGCAUUUUCAUCUGUAUGAACUUGUCCACACAGGUAGGGCAAUUCUUCAUAACCAAAUAACUUCCUGAGAAAAUCACCUUGUAACAAGUUUUAAGAUGAAACCCUGACAAACCCAUCCUUCUUCCUUGGAAAUGUGCUUUGCAGUGUUGCAAAAAUCAUGAGGCCAAA